rnacentral:rRNA from 1 species
UACGAAGGGUGCAAACGUUGCUCGGAAUCAUUGGGCGUAAAGCGCGCGUAGGUGGCUUCGUAAGUCCGUUGUGAAAGUCAAAGGCUCAACCUUUGAAAGCCGAUGGAUACUGCGGAGCUAGAGUACGGAAGAGGCGAGUGGAAUUCCUGGUGUAGCGGUGGAAUGCGCAGAUAUCAGGAGGAACACCAAUAGCGAAGGCAGCUCGCUGGGACGUUACUGACACUGAGGCGCGAAAGCGUGGGGAGCGAACAGG